UGAAAAAUAUUCUCAUCAAUUUAUUAAUUGAUUUGAGAUUUUAGUUCAAUUAGGUUAUUUUUAUUCAUUUUUAAUUGAUUAAAAAUAGUUUCUGACUUUUAAAAAUGUUGAAAUUUUUUGUCAAACCUUGUUUGACCUUGUUGAACUUAGGAUAAAUCACUUGGACCUUCCAAGGUUGAUUUGAGGUGAUUUUGAAGUUUGACCUUUCUUUAAUAUUUUAAUUCA
rnacentral:lncRNA from 1 species